rnacentral:lncRNA from 1 species
AGGUAAUAGAGCCACACUUAUUGUGCGAUCGCUCAUGUCACCCAUUUGUAUUACUAUUGGAACCGCUAGACCACUCGUCGCCAUUGAAGAGAACAAUGUAUCACUUAAUCUUUUAUUAAAAUAACCGACGCCUUUUCCAAUUAUUUGUAUUGAACUUUCAAGUUUCCUCAAUUUACUAUUAUUAUCUCCAAAUAAGUUAUUUGAUCAAAUUGACGAUGAAAAUGAUGGAUUUUAAAAUAUACUAAAUUAGCCCUUAUUGACUAGUAAUUUAUGCCACUCUAUGAAACCAGUUUUGAUGGAAUCAAUAGCUUCAAUUAUUGAAAAUGUAUCUAAUGGAGUACCCAAUUCUUUUGUAAUUCCUCUACUCGUAGUUAACGGCCUCAAGAAAAAUAUUAGACUAUUGACCAAAUUUUCUGCGAGUGCUCUUGGCAAUUUUUCUAACGGUAUAUACUUCUGAAACAUUAGAUAUUGAUCAACUUUUGGAU